rnacentral:tRNA from 1 species
GCGGCAAUGGCGGAAUUGGUAGACGCGCUAGCUUCAGGUGCUAGUUCCCUUUAUGGGAGUGGAGGUUCAAGUCCUCUUUGCCGCA